UUACUCCGACUGCUUUCUGGUCUGGAAGAAUUGUAUGCCAGUCUCUGGCAUGCUCACCAGCCUUAAAUAAUACUAAGUGAAAAUAAGAGGUGGUGGAUGGGCUGCUUUCCUGCGCAACAGCUGGAAAUCUGCAUAGAAGCACAGAGUAAAAGACAAGGAAUCUUCAUGCAUCUCAAGAAGACCUGCACUCCAAGCAAGACUUCACUCUGACUGCCAAGGUAAAAAGAAAAUCCCAAGCCACACCUCAAGCUUUUUAGAACAGAAUCAAUGAGUUAAAAGCAAUAUUGCACGAU